GUGGGGAAUAUUGGACAAUGGGCGAAAGCCUGAUCCAGCCAUGCCGCGUGUGUGAAGAAGGUCUUCGGAUUGUAAAGCACUUUAAGUUGGGAGGAAGGGCAGUAAGUUAAUACCUUGCUGUUUUGACGUUACCGACAGAAUAAGCACCGGCUAACUUCGUGCCAGCAGCCGCGGUAAUACGAAGGGUGCAAGCGUUAAUCGGAAUUACUGGGCGUAAAGCGCGCGUAGGUGGUUAUGUAAGUUGGAGGUGAAAUCCCCGGGCUCAAGCUGGGAACUGCCUCCAAAACUGCAUGACUAGAGUACGGUAGAGGGUAGUGGAAUUUCCUGUGUAGCGGUGAAAUGCGUAGAUAUAGGAAGGAACACCAGUGGCGAAGGCGACUACCUGGACUGAUACUGACACUGAGGUGCGAAAGCGUGGGGAGCAAACAGGAUUAGAAACCCGAGUAGUCC
rnacentral:rRNA from 1 species